rnacentral:rRNA from 1 species
GACGAACGCUGGCGGCGUGCCUAACGCAUGCAAGUCGAGCGGAGUCAGUAAGAGGAAGUUUUCGGAUGGAAUCUUAUUGAUUUAGCGGCGGACGGGUGAGUAACGCGUGAGCGACCAACCUUGCACAGGGGGAUAACGGACCGAAAGGUUCACUAAUACCGCAUGAGACCACGGUGUUGCAUGACACAGGGGUCAAAGGAGCAAUCCGGUGCAAGACGGGCUCGCGUCCGAUUAGGUAGUUGGAGGGGUAACGGCCCACCAAGCCUAUGAUCGGUAGCCGACCUGGGAGGGUGAUCGGCCACAUUGAAACUGAGAUACGGUCCAAACUCCUACGGGAGGCAGCAGUGGGGAAUAUUGGGCAAUGGGGGAAACCCUGACCCAGCAACGCCGCGUGAAGGAAGAAGGUUUUCGGAUUGUAAACUUCUGUCCUUGGUGAAGAGAAGAAGACGGUAGCCAAGGAGGAAGCCCCGGCUAACUACGUGCCAGCCGCCGCGGUAA